GUGAUAAAUUUAACGGCCGCGGUACCCUAACCGUGCAAAGGUAGCAUAAUCACUUGUUCUUUAAAUAAGGACUUGUAUCAGCGGCAUCACGAGGGUUCUACUGUCUCCUCUCUCCAAUCAGUGAAACUGAUCUCCCCAUGAAAAAGUGGGGAUAAACUUAUAAGACGAGAAGACCCCAUGGAGCUUUAAAACCUAUAGCAACCUAGCAAACACUUCCAUCUAGCUAUAAAAUAAUGCUCAAGGACUUUAGGUUGGGAGGACCACGGAGCACAAAAUAACCUCCGUAAUGAAAAGAAUAAGAUCUUUACCAAAGAGCCACAACUCUAAGAAUUAGAAAACUAACGUACAUGACCCGAUAUCGAUCAAUGAACUAAGUUACCCUGGGGAUAACAGCGCAAUCCACUCUGAGAGUUCAUAUCGACGAGCGGGCUUACGACCUCGAUGUUGGAUCAGGGUAUCCUGGUGGUGCAGCCGCUACCGAAGGUUCGUUUGUUCAACGAUUAAAACCC
rnacentral:rRNA from 1 species